GAAAGGGCCCGGGGAAGGGUCUUGCUGCAGCCAGGUGGUGGGGCAGGCAGGCGGGUCACACCGCUGCUCCAGCCCUGUCCUUGCUGCACGCAGGGGUGUGUUACAGAACAGAGCGUGAAACCCCAGCCGUAGCCGGGAAGCCUGUUCCUGGCAUGCAAUAACCCCAGGCUGCCUGGCGAGAGGAGCCUCAGAAGUGUGCCUUUGGGGAACAGCGCUCCUGGCCUCAAUUGCGGGCUGUGUCCGUGAUUUUUUAUGUGCACGCUGAACCGCUCUGCUUCAUGCCACCUAUCUGUAAAUGGGAGUAAUAACAAUCAACUAUCAUAUUUCAGCAUCGUGGCUGUUCCACCGUGGUUCAAUAUGCUUUGGGCCAUAGGAGUGUGAGAACGGCUCUCGAGGGCAGGGCACUCACCUGAGUGCGAGACACCUACCGUCAAAUCCCUUCUCAGGAGGCAGAGGGAGAAACUGAACUGGCAUCUCCUGCAUCCCAGGUUCAAGAACUGAUGUGUUAGACUCCCUUACAACACAGACUGCCUCACUCCCAGUGAGAUGGACCACUUACCUGCUUUCUACUACUCUUAUUGUAACUUCUGAAGAAUAUUAUGGAAGAUUUUUAUUUUUGAGCAAAGACAAGCUGACAGAGAUAAUCUUUAAAGAAAUCUAUACAACAACUUAUUUCCCAAUGAAGGUAUUUUAAAGAAUUAUCAGAAAUUUAAACUGGAGGAUGCACAAGAGCAGAAAUAACAUGAAUUCGGGAACACCAUUAUCUCAUUUAAAAAUACAUUCUGCUUUAAUGGAGCUUAGUGAUCCAGUUAAUUAAUUUAAAUCAUUAUAAGUGAGAUUGUUAACACCAUCUAUUAUUAUGGCUGCCUGACAUUUCCCAUUAUAAGACCCUGUUUUCAGUUGCUUGUAACUUUGUGAAGCCUUACAAUUUGGGCUGAAAAUUUCUAUGCCAGGUUUCUGGCUCAGGUUGAAUUUCUCUGAAAAAUUUCAGCCAAAAUGGUUCAGCCAUUUCCAAGAAAAGGGGAAAAUAUAUUGUUUUGCUUUUGUUAAAAAAAAUUCUUUAGAUCUUUUCUUCAAAAUGCUCGUUCACCCGCAAUGCUCUGGAGGAGAGACUUGAAAUUUGGCAGGGGAGUGAGUGGCGUUUGUGUCAGUUGUAGCUUUUGCCAUCCCCAUGGAAAAAAAACACCAAUUUGACCAAGUCGUAAGCCUUUGAAAAAAUGCAGUUUGUACAUGCUCAGUCGAGACAUUUUUUAUUUUAGUAAUUAACAUCGCCAAAGAUUCUGUCCUCAUUGAGCAUCCUCUCUCAGCUCCUAGUGCUGACCAGACUGUGAAAAUGUUAUCUCCGCAGAGCAACCGAACAUGUUGCAUCCCCUCACAGCUCCUAUGUAUGACCAGACUGUGCAUGCACUAUCCCUAUGGAGAGACUGAGCAUCCUUCCUCCAGCCCAGGUCCAUGGGGCAAAGCUGGACUUUCCUUGUAGUGGCUGCUCCUGGUCCCUUUGAGCCACUGGGAUGGGCUGGCACUGGAAAUGAGAGCAGUAACCUGUUUCUUCUGUGCUCUCAAUGCUGCUGCUGCUGCCCAGACCGCUUGGAGUAGGAAGCCAGCUGAUUUGAAUGCAGAAGAGACAAGAGCCAGACAAGGAAGGA